AGUGCUGGGCACACACACACACACUCACUCUGAAGUGGAAUACAUGGCUACAUCUACUCCAAGAAGAGCUAUUAGUGAUCAGAGGCAGCAUUUAGUGGACGAGGAAGACAAAACAAAUACAAAUAUUUUAAAAAGCCACUUUUCUACAAAAACACUCUGCAUGUCCAAAUCCAGAGGAGGGCUGAUUCAGGCCUUCAUCCUUCUGCACCAGAAUUGCACCCCUGCGGCCAAGGAAGAUCAGAGCUGAUUCAGAGAUGGCCUCCACGGAAAGAACAGUCCCCCCUAAGGAGGCAAGGAUGGGAGUGUGUCUGUGUGUAUGCGCAGAACAUCAUUUACAUGCCUCUGGUGCAUUGGAGGCAAGAUGCAAAGCCAAAGACCUUUAGCCACAUGAGAAGUGUAAUUUCUCCAUAACUGCACACCCUGCUAGCUCUUUUUGCUUACUUAUAAAAUGACUUUGGUUUGUUUAAUAUUUUUAAAACGAAUGUUAAUUUUUCUCCUUACCAAUUUAUCUGAAUUGCCUCAGUGUAAAAAAUAGCUAAAAAGAUUACUCUAUUACAUAUACUGUGUUUAAAAGUACUUAGGCCUGCUCUACACUGGGGGGGGGGGUCGAUCUAAGUUACGCAACUUCAGCUCUGUGAAUAACGUAACCUAAGUCAACACACUUAGAUCUACUUACCAGGGUGUCUUCUCUGUGGUAGGUCGACUGCUGAUGCUCCCCCAUCGACUCCACCUACGCUUCUUGCCAGGGCCGGCCCACAACAUUCUGGCACCUGAGGCAGGGAGCUCAAAUGGCGCCCCCAAACCCCCUCGCUUGGGCCAAAACUUUGAAAGGUCUCAAUUCUGCCUUCUUCCUGUUCUACUCCUCUCAUGGUACUGCUCUGUUGCCUACCCCAAUAAAGGAGAACAACUUAAAAUGUCUUGUUCAAAAAUUUUAAGUAACAUUUAACUUUCAAACGCCUGAACAACGAAUGUAACUUUUCUUGUCUGCAUAGUAAACACUGG